AGUACAAGCACUGAAGAAGAUGGAUGAGAUUGCUUUAGUUCAUGAGAUUAAAAGAGAAAUAGAAGUACCUGAAACUCCACCCUCCAAUCCACCUGCUAAGAGAUUGACAAUGCAACAAUUAUUAGAUAUCAAUAAUGCUAUGGAUGUACUUAGAGUACUGGAUGGUCAUGGAU